UGGGGAAUAUUGGACAAUGGGGGCAACCCUGAUCCAGCCAUGCCGCGUGAAUGAUGAAGGCCUUCGGGUUGUAAAGUUCUUUUGGCGGGGACGAUGAUGACGGUACCCACAGAAUAAGCUCCGGCUAACUUCGUGCCAGCAGCCGCGGUAAUACGAAGGGAGCUAGCGUUGUUCGGAAUUACUGGGCGUAAAGGGCGCGUAGGCGGUUUGACAAGUUGGAUGUGAAAGCCCUGGGCUCAACCCGGGAAUUGCAUUCAAGACUGUUUUACUAGAAUUCGGUAGAGGUUGGUAGAAUUCCCAGUGUAGAGGUGAAAUUCGUAGAGAUUGGGAAGAAUACCCGUGGCGAAGGCGGCCAACUGGACCGACAUUGACGCUGAGGCGCGAAAGCGUGGGUAGCAAACAGGAUUAGAUACCCCCGUAGUCC
rnacentral:rRNA from 1 species